GCUGGGAAAGAGCCCAGCCUAGGGCCGAAGGGCUGGGGGUGAGGGUGGGGGAAGGGGGUUUAAAGGGGCGCUGCCUUGGCAAUCACACAGGUUCCAGAGACCAUCCGAAGGGCUUCGCAGAGCAGACAGCAAAGAGCAGGGGUGGCGGCGACCAGGCUCCCCUCUCUGGAAUCUCAGUGCAUCCCUACCCCCAGGCCAGGCCAGCUUUCCAGCGUCUCAGCUUCGGUGUGCUGGGCCGCACAGCCCCCUCUCCCUGCUCCCAAGGCUGGUCUGUCCACUGACUAUGAGAGGGACCAGGGAUCCUGAGAGGAGAGAGAAGGGCCUGUGCUUUAACAGAGGAAAGACUUAAGGCUCGAGGAAGGUCAGUCAUGCCUCGCUCACACAGCCAGUGAGGCACAGAGGUUGGAUUCCCAUCCUGUUUGGGGUUGGGUUCAAGCUGAAACUCUCCGGGCUGAGAGAUGACCUUGAAGCUACUGAAGCUUGGUCCCUCAGGCACGCAUCCCCUCC
rnacentral:lncRNA from 1 species